rnacentral:rRNA from 1 species
AGCUCCAGUAGCGUAUAUUAAAGUUGUUGCAGUUAAAAAGCUCGUAGUUGGAUUUCUGGCAAGAUGGGCCCGACCCGGUACCAAGUACUGAGUGUUGGUUGCCUAUCUGCCAUCCUUCCAGAGAACGACGAUGUAGGUUCAUCCCUGUGUCGUCGCAAUCUGGGACUUUUACUAUGAAUAAAUUAGCAUGGAAUAAUAAUUUAGGACUUUUGUUCUAUUUUGUUGGUCUCUAGGACGAAAGUAAUGAUUGAUAGGGAUAGUUGGGGGUGCUAGUAUUGAGCGGCCAGAGGUGAAAUUCUUGGAUUCGCUCAAGACUAACUUAUGCGAAAGCAUUCACCAAGGAUGUCUUCU